rnacentral:rRNA from 1 species
UAUCCUAGUGGCGAACGGGUGAGUAACGCGUGAGCAACCUGCCUUGUACAACGGGAUACCCGAGGGAAACUUCGGUUAAUACGGUAUAAGACCACACUACCGCAUGGUAGAGGGGUAAAAGGAGAAAUCCGGUAUAAGAUGGGCUCGCGUCGCAUUAGCUAGUUGGUAAGGUAACGGCUUACCAAGGCGACGAUGCGUAGCCGACCUGAGAGGGUGAUCGGCCACAUUGGGACUGAGACACGGCCCAGACUCCUACGGAAGGCAGCAG